rnacentral:sRNA from 1 species
UCUCUCUCUAAAACCCUUGCCCUAAAGGUUUUCUCUGAUUUCUCUCAGAUUCCCAGCUCCUUGAACCGUAGGAAUUCGAUUUAGGAGCUACCCAAGCGUUCGCGGAGUAGAGGGCUUCCUUUUUACCGAACGUUCUCUUCGUUCCGAUCGGGUAUUGUGUGUUUUGCUGUGAGAGGUUCUGUGAAGUUGCUAUUGUGAGUUGUACUGUGAGAACCCUAGGAGAAGAUUCAUGGUGGUGCAGUAGUGUUUAGAAUGAUCUACAGGGAAGCUCAGUCUUGGGGGUUAUCCUGACACUCCAAUGGUCUUUCAUUCUCAAGUAGAGAGGAUUGAACCAUGUGGUGAGGAGUAGGAGGUCUUAGUCUUGGGGGCUUCCAGUAUGCCUCAAGGCCCGGAACAGGCUAACCUCGUGAGUGUGGUAGGGUGGAGAACCCAAGUUUCAUAAGCCACCACGAGUGCAUGACCCGCCAUAGCUCGGUAAUCAUUCUAAGUCUGGACGAGUCAGGUCUAGUUCAUGACAUGUUUCUUGAUGUGAGCAGAUGAAGAGGAGGUAUACGUGGAACAAGCGCUAGAAGAUGGUGAUGAUGCAGCUUAGUAUGCUUAGGAUUUGGAUUAGUACAACUAUUCUGUCUUUAGAAAAUUUUCCAGUGGUCCUUUGUGUUUAAGAGACCAACUCUGAUCUUAUUUUGGAUGA